rnacentral:piRNA from 1 species
UUGAGGGGACCGCCUGAGAUGUAGUGGA